CCUCGCGCCCCCUCCUCUCCUCUACUUUAUCUAAUAUGCUGUCCUUCCCCAGGGACUGGCCUCUCCUGCAAAUAGUCUACACUGGACUAAGCGCCAUGAACCCACCCAGUAGAAGGGUAGAAGCAAGGUACAAGGUAGAAGCAAGCCCUGACAACCUGAUUUCGGACCGAUGCCAGCCUAGCAAAUGCUUGUCACCCACGGUUGCCCUGGGUUGGAAUCAACUCGAAGGCAGCCAGUUUGGUUGAGCUUUUCUUGGGGGAGGUUGAGCACAGGGCAGGAUACAUGUGGCCCAGAUUCCUGGAAGAAAUCUUUAAGCUGUGUUUCAAGUGAAGUCACCAACCGCUGAGAUUCAUUUGGGGAGGGCACCGGUGCAGUGUGGAAGGCCUGCAGCUCUGAGACAUCAGCUGAGCUCGUGGGGUUUCGGCGCCCUGGUUGCACCCAGGUGUGCAUGACCCCUAGUGCAUGCUGCUGUUCUGUCCUGGAAGACAGGUGGCGUGUCCUUCGAAAGCCCCACUGCCUUGUGAAUACCUGUUCUUCUGGGCCCACAGGACGAAAGGGUGAGUGGAGCUCACACAAAGCCCCUCAGAGCAGCCCACAGUCCCUUUCCAGAGCAGUAGACGGAAACAGUAGGUGGAAACAGCCAGUGCCGGGACAGAGGCGAGAGGAGGUGGUGUUUAGGACCCUGCACACGGGGAAGCAGCCUUGCAGAUAAGUAUUCACACUGACCAACCUCCCCUCCCCUGACCUGGGCAGGAGCCUCAAAUCUCAACAUGGGAGGGGCCAACUCCCUUUCCUUCCUAGACAGCAGAAAGAGCAAGCCUCUUCUCAACUUAGGGAGUGCCCCUGAAAGGGCGAUUCUACCCCCACCCCACCAGCUUUUGGCCUUGAAGCUCCUAUUUUUAAACCAUGGUGUCUGGAGCUUCUUUGAUUACUUCCUUGAAGACCCUGCACAUCUUGAGUGUCAGGGGACUGGGGACCCUGCUGCCUUAGUCUGGCCCUCCAUCCUGCUCACCACACUGGGCCAGGCUCCUCCUGGCUGGGGGUGCUUUGCCUGGCCCUCAGGUGUUUGGAGGACACCUUCCAGCUCAGGGCUCUGCGGGCACCUGGGGCCCCGGGUGGGUCAGUGCCAUACAUUGCCCUCUCUGGACACAUGGUGGCUCCUGUAAGGGGAAUGAGUUAUUACCCAAAGUCAAACUUGACAGAUGGCUGCUUGGCGGUGGUAGGAGUUCCUAGCUUCUCUUUGGGGCUUAUGAAAUUGGAGGCAUGGGGUGGUCUUAAGAGCCCUGUUUCACCUUCUGGCCCUAUUCCUUGGUGGGGCUCUCUAGCAUCCUCAAGUGUGUGGGGCUGGAGGAGAGGGUGGGGUGGAGGAAGCAGGGCAGAACAUAUAUCGGAGUCCCGGCAGGAGGGCCCGUCCUGUUUCUGUCCACUACCUCAGAUCAUGGGGGCAGGGUUAACCCUGAAUCCAGCGGUCCUGUCUGGCUGGCACCCAGCUGUAGUUUUCUCCUGGGUCACAUUUCCCCCUGGUUGGGAGGCAGGAAGGUAUGUGCUGGGAGACCCUCCUGAUGGUAGGGAACUCUCCGGGGGUAGGGGAAGGGAGGAGGAGGGGGCUUCACCCAGGCCCCACCUCCCCGGCCCCCAGGCCUCCUCCUUGUGAACAGAGGACUGUAGCCAGACCUGGGCCUGGGGAGGGGGCCUGGGGGAGUCUUCUCCUGCGGUUGGCUGGCUUUGUUGUCUUCCAGGGCCUGUCCAGGGGUCUCCGUGGGCCAGGAGCUGGGAGCUACCUGGGCUGCCUACUUGUAGGUUGGACGCUACUGCCAGACACUGGGAGGCUUCUCCUGGAGCAGAGGGAAACAGGACAGAUGUGGCCCACCCUUAGGGAUCUUCACAAGACGGGCUUCCUCCAGGUCCCUUGGAGGGGACACCAGGGGCCAGACCCCUCAUCGUGGAAGGUGGCUCUGCUCCCGCUGGGCCCCAGGAUCAUGGCCCCACCCUCUCUUUGGAGCCUGAGCAGGCCACUCUGGCCUGUGGUUUUCUGGAUCUCUGGGUCAUCUCUCUGGCCGUGGACAAGGCCCCUCUUUGGGCUCUGGAGGACAGCGGCUGGGGUUGAGGGGGGCCGCUGCCCCAGCUCACCUUCUCCACCACCGGUGGGGGUUCUGCCUGCUGGCGCUGGAGGCCCCAUCCUGACUAUGUGCACAUUGCUGCCAGUGGCCUGAGCCCUGAUCACACCUUCCCCAGACCAGGCCUCCCAGGGCUGUGCGGCUGGGGCCAAAACACAGACCUGGGCAUUGGGGUCGGGUGAGGGCUGGCAGGGCCUCAGUUGGGGUCUCUGGCUGUCCUGUUAGUUGCCCUCAUUGCUUUUUGGCUUUCCCCAUGUUCCUCUGCCCCGUGACGGUCAGAGGGAGGAGGCACUCAGCUCUGGGAGGGGCGCUGGAGGGGCAGAGGGGGUGCUAUCUUGAAAUCACAGGGACUCCUUUUGAGAGAGGAGAGGCCUCAGGCCAGGGGGACUCACUCGAAAGAGCCAGCCUGCCUGGGUUCUGAGUCUCAGGUCAUCUGACCAAAGCAGCGGUUCUCAACCUGUGGGUCACAACCCCUUUGGGGGUCGAAUGAGACCCUUUCACAGGGGUCACCAAUU